CCAGGGGUGGAUGCAGCACUGCAGGUGGGGUCUCACAAGAGCAGAGCAGAGGGGGAGAAUCCCCUCCUUCAACCUGCUGCCCACUUUGCCUUUGAUGCAGCCCAGGACACAACUGGUUUUCUGGGCUGUGAGUGCACAUUGCUG